rnacentral:rRNA from 1 species
UGGGGAAUAUUGGACAAUGGGCGAAAGCCUGAUCCAGCCAUGCCGCGUGUGUGAAGAAGGUCUUCGGAUUGUAAAGCACUUUAAGCUGGGAGGAAGGGUUGUAGAUUAAUACUCUGCAAUUUUGACGUUACCGACAGAAUAAGCACCGGCUAACUCUGUGCCAGCAGCCGCGGUAAAACAGAGGGUGCAAGCGUUAAUCGGAAUUACUGGGCGUAAAGCGCGCGUAGGUGGUUUGUUAAGUUGGAUGUGAAAGCCCCGGGCUCAACCUGGGAACUGCAUCCAAAACUGGCAAGCUAGAGUACGGUAGAGGGUGGUGGAAUUUCCUGUGUAGCGGUGAAAUGCGUAGAUAUAGGAAGGAACACCAGUGGCGAAGGCGACCACCUGGACUGAUACUGACACUGAGGUGCGAAAGCGUGGGGAGCAAACA